UAUACUCAUUUGGGAUUUUACUUCUAGAAGUUCUGACAGGCCGCCGUCCUGUGGAACUGAAGAGACCUGCCAAUGAGCGGGUGACACUUAGAUGGGCCUUCAGAAAGUAUAAUGAAGGAACUGUGGUGGAUAUGGUGGAUCCAUUAUUGGAAGAAAAAGUAGAUGGGGAGGUACUCAUGAAAUUGUUUGCUUUGGCAAUCCAGUGUGCUGCACCCAUUCGCACUGAUCGACCAGACAUGAAAACAGUCGGAGAGCAGCUGUGGGCAAUAAGGGCAGACUAUAUGAGAAGUGCAAAGCGUGCUUAAAAAAGAAAAAAAAAAUAUGAAUGGCCUCCUCAUAUUAGUACAAUUAGCUUGAACUUGGGACCUAUUGCCGUAGUCACUGAGCUAAAACUUAUUGGUGGCCUCCUCAUAUUCUAUUGUGCUCUUUUUAUCACAUUUUCAAACUCCAUUUGAAUGUUGAUACAAAAGUUACUUCAAUCUUGGCCCAAUAAUCUUGCUUCACUAUUUAUCCUUUUUAGAACGUAACUGGCAUCUUGGAUGCUUUUUGUAUUUUAACUUGUUAUGUAACAAGAAGUCCUGUUAUGAAAUGAGACAAAUGUAUAAAGAUGAAGCUCAUUUCAUAACAGGACUUCUUGUUACAUAA
rnacentral:misc_RNA from 1 species